AUGGAGAUGGUGAUGCCACCAGUUGCCGGACCACCUCGGCGGCCAGCUGGACUUGAUCCAUGGCAUUGUCUCCUGGCUCUGUUCUCUGGAAGCACCACCGCACUGGGACGAAAGCUGUUAUGCCCUCUAAUCAAGUGUGUCAUUUUGCGAACCAGCUCUAUGAAAAAUCAUGUAUCACAAAUGGAGCCUUUUGUGAAUGCCAUCAAGGGUGCAGAUGACGUGAUCUUGGCUGUGGGGCCCCGUCAGAUAAUCAACUUGUCUUCUUUGUUGGUGGAACUACGCCUGCGGAUCGAUCACUGGAUAGUUGAUGCACAGAGGCUCCUGCCAUCCGAGUUUGGCUCUGACGUAGAGCGGGUUCACACGGUGGAUCCAGCGGCCACAUUGUAUGCUGGUAAAGUCAGGCUCCCCCGUCUGAUCGAGGCGGAGGGUAUACCUCACACAUAUGUCUGCUGCAACGGGUUCGCCGAAACCUACCUUCCGAGCAUCGGUCAUGUUACAGCCAUGGGCGACCAAACCAACUUCGACAUCGAGCCGUCCUUUGGCGUCGAGGCCACCGAGCUGUACCCCGACGUGAAGUACACCACCGUCGAUGACGAGUACCUCGACCAGUCGACCGUCUCCUCUGACAGUUCUUUGGCUCUCUGGAAUGCAUGGCAGCCCCUAACGCAGUUGCAGUUGUCUGGUGUAAAUUCACCAGGAAGAACAAGUCUCUGGCCUUGCUAA
rnacentral:rRNA from 1 species